UACGUAGGGUGCAAGCGUUGUCCGGAAUUAUUGGGCGUAAAGAGCUCGUAGGCGGUUCGUCACGUCGGCUGUGAAAACCUGAGGCUCAACCUCAGGCCUGCAGUCGAUACGGGCGGACUUGAGUACUGCAGGGGAGACUGGAAUUCCUGGUGUAGCGGUGAAAUGCGCAGAUAUCAGGAGGAACACCGGUGGCGAAGGCGGGUCUCUGGGCCGAUACUGACGCUCAUGCACGAAAGCGUAGGGAGCAAACAGG
rnacentral:rRNA from 1 species